rnacentral:lncRNA from 1 species
CGGCUGAGGCCGACCAAGCAGCAAGUUCGAGCCCAGUUGAAGUUGCCGUUCCCGGAAUUACUUUUGCUCAUGGCCCCGGUAAUUUGGUUCAUUGUCUUCAUU